rnacentral:misc_RNA from 1 species
GGACCAGUAACUUUAAAGACACAUUUUUCUCCGUACGAAUAUUCCUGAAGUGCCUUAACCUUUUAAAACUCCUAAUUAAAGAAGAGAAAAGAUUUUGAAACAAAGCGCAUGCAGGAUAAUGAGCUCAAAUAUCAAACCAUAAAAGAAACUAAGCAAUCUACCAAUUUUCGGUGUAACUAAGCAUACAGAACAAAGAAGUCCCUAGUUUACCUAUUACACUCCAAAGCAUUCGUCUCUUCACCUCGAGUAAAUUCGACUUCCAAAAUUUUGUAAGGUUCAAAUUAUAUGGCUAUUAUAUUACAACUCAAUAAAGCACAAAUGCCGGCAAUUUUUUCCUAAAAUACAUAGAUCUAUAUAGCAGAGCAUGAAUAUGAAUAUGAAAGUUGAAGCACAAGUACAAUUUUCUGUUAUAACUAAGUGUAUAAAAUACAACCGUCCAG